rnacentral:tRNA from 1 species
GAGGGUAUACCUCAGUGGUAAGAGUACAUGCCUGGCAUGUACAAGGUCCUGGUUUCAAUCCCCAGUACCUCUG